GACGAACGCUGGCGGCGUGCCUAAUACAUGCAAGUAGGACGCUGAAGAGAGGAGCUUGCUCUUCUUGGCUGAGUUGCGAACGGGUGAGUAACGCGUAGGUAACCUGCCUUGUAGCGGGGGAUAACUAUUGGAAACGAUAGCUAAUACCGCAUAACAAUGGAUGACACAUGUCAUUUAUUUGAAAGGGGCAAUUGCUCCACUACAAGAUGGACCUGCGUUGUAUUAGCUAGUAGGUGAGGUAACGGCUCACCUAGGCGACGAUACAUAGCCGACCUGAGAGGGUGAUCGGCCACACUGGGACUGAGACACGGCCCAGACUCCUACGGGAGGCAGCAGUAGGGAAUCUUCGGCAAUGGGGGCAACCCUGACCGAGCAACGCCGCGUGAGUGAAGAAGGUUUUCGGAUCGUAAAGCUCUGUUGUAAGUCAAGAACGAGUGUGAGAGUGGAAAGUUCACACUGUGACGGUAGCUUACCAGAAAGGGACGGCUAACUACGUG
rnacentral:rRNA from 1 species